AUGAAGAUGAGUCCAACCAAACCUGCGCAGCCAGAACCUGCCAGGCUGACCAGUUUUCUUGUGGAAAUGGGCGCUGCAUUCCCAGAGCCUGGUUGUGUGACAGAGAGGAUGAUUGUGGUGACCAGACAGAUGAAGUGGCAUCCUGUGAAUUCCCGACGUGCGAGCCGCUAACUCAGUUCGUAUGCAAGAGUGGAAGAUGCAUCAGCAGCAAAUGGCACUGUGACACUGGCA